AGAAAUUCAACCAAGCGC
rnacentral:snRNA from 1 species